rnacentral:misc_RNA from 1 species
AAGUGUCAAAAUAUUUGAAAUUUUGUGAUCGCUGCGGUAUCGCGCCGGCCGUUUAUGACAAACAUUUCAAUAAAACAAAGACAAUGUCUGCUUUUCACGGAUUUCCCGAACUCCCGGGGGCAGAUGAAAUCCCCUUCUGCAAACUAAACGAGGUUUUCUGCUGUGGGAACGCACGAUAUGGAAAUAUAACGACGUUUACAAAUUCGACAAAAAGCCACCCAGUAAUCAACGUGACACGUGAUAUUCACCACCACAGAACGUCGGACGAGAACAUUUCAAUGUACAUUGACGUUGAGGACAAUUUACUCAAGAAAAUAACAAGUGUGUGGUACAAACAGGGGUUUUUGGAGGCCCUGGCCGUCGCCGCAGACCCCUCAGUGAACCAGGAGAGCCAGGUGCUCGCCGUCGCCGCGUCAUACGUGUUGAAAGUAGCAAAUGUGUUCACAGCUUUCAGAUACUUUUUACAGCCACAUUUGAAGGAUAUAGGACCUAAAAUCGUUGCUAAUUACUCUAGGACUAGGAGUUGGGGGAACGGGCCAAUAAAAUGUAUAGCUUGGCAUCCUCAUACUACAAAAAUGGCUGUGGCUACUGUAGAUGACAAUGUAAGGAUAUAUUGUUCAGAAGUGGCAUUUGUUUCUACCCUGAAGUGUAAGGCACAAGGUCAUGUGUCUUCAUUGAGUUGGAGGCCGUUCUCGGCUUCUGAAUUGGCAGUGGGAUGUGAACAGGGUGUUAUUGUGUGGACAGUGGACCCCAAUUCAAUGUUUACGAAGCCAUCUUCUAGCAAUGCUGUGGUUUUGAACAGGCCAGGCCACAGUCCCGUGACCGAUGUGAGCUGGUCUCCCAACGGUGACUUGCUGAUCAGCUGCUCAGGUGCUGACACUUCCAUGCUAGUGUGGGACGUGUCUAUGGAGACUGCGGUUCCUCUACGAAGAGUUGCAGGUGGUGGCAUAGUGUUUGCACGCUGGUCAUUUGACGCCAGCAAAGUUUUUGCUGCUACUUCUUCUAUUAUAUUUAGAGUAUGGGACACAAAACGCUGGACGCCGGAGCGUUGGUGCGCUCGCGGCAACCGCGUGGUGGCCGCGUGCUGGGGGCCCGGGGAUGUGCUACUGUUUGCCGCUAAGGGAGAACCUAUGGUGUAUGCCCUUACUAAUACUGGGCUUAUGAGUGGCUCACAAACCAGCAAAGCCCUCCCAGUCCUGGAUGUAACAAAGGUAGAGCUACCAUCAGGAGACUCAGUGGGAGGACCAAUACUGGACAUGUGCUGGGACCCGACUGGCAGAUACCUGGCAAUACUGUUUGAGGAGUCACAUUUAGUCACCGUGUUUUGUACUACCAAGCUCAUGUUGCAGCUUAAGAUUACGCCUUGUUGCUUCAUCUGCGGCAUAGAAGCAGAGGUCCCAUCGACCAUGGCAUUUCAAAAUAACUUCAGCGAAGGUGCCUGUCUCACCAUCGCCUGGUCCAGCGGUAGAGUGCAGCACUUCCCCAUCAUUUAUACUGAUACGUAUUAGUUUGUUUGUUUGUAGUUUGUGACGUGUGUGUAGGUGAAGUAAGCUUAAUAAAUAUUUUAUUUAUUUAAUACACUACGGAAGACUCUUUUCCCAACUAUGUUGGGGUCGGCUUCCAGACUAACCGGAACUAUGGAAGACUCACAGCUAUAUAAAGACUUAAAUAUAGAAAGAAGUCAUAGACGACAGAGAGCCAAUUAGAAGUCCUCGCUUCUAUUGCAGGCUCAUAUUACUUACAUAGUCUUUUAUGUUCCUAUUUGGGACUAAAACGCCUGCUAAAAUUUCUUUUUCUAAAUAGAUGAUCAACAAUCAAAAGCAUUAAUUUAGAGGUUAUCUGGGCGAAUUGAGAAAACUUUGACAUUAGUGACUUUCGGUGAUUAAACCUGCAACUCACUAGAUAAGAAGAAGAAGCAAUUUGUUUUUCGCUCAAUCAUCACAAAAAUGCAAGCAUUGAAUAGUUCCGUUUUUUUGUGAAUAAACAGACCUGCAAAUGUACCUAUUUAUUAAGCUUGCUUGUGUUUGAAAUCAGAGUAAAAUAAGGUAUAAGGAAAAAGUAAAUCUUGCUUACUAAAAAGAUUAUUUUGUACACUUGAGCAAAAUGUCUUUGUCUAGGUAAAUGUCUGACAAAAAAAUAUAUCCUUUUGGACUUACAAAGCCUAAAGGGACAAUGUAAUAAGUUUUAAGACAGAAAUUUAAUAUAAGACUGCCAAAAUGUUUUGUAAUAUAAAAUGUAAAGAUAUGUAUACUGCAAUAAAACAAUAUAAUUCAAA